UUAAGCGACUAAGCGUACACGGUGGAUGCCUUGGCAGUCAGAGGCGAUGAAGGACGUGCUAAUCUGCGAUAAGCGUCGGUAAGGUGAUAUGAACCGUUAUAACCGGCGAUUUCCGAAUGGGGAAACCCAGUGUGAUUCGUCACACUAUCAUUAACUGAAUCCAUAGGUUAAUGAGGCGAACCGGGGGAACUGAAACAUCUAAGUACCCCGAGGAAAAGAAAUCAACCGAGAUUCCCCCAGUAGCGGCGAGCGAACGGGGAGCAGCCCAGAGCCUGAAUCAGUGUGUGUGUUAGUGGAAGCGUCUGGAAAGGCGUGCGAUACAGGGUGACAGCCCCGUACACAAAAAUGCACAUACUGUGAGCUCGAUGAGUAGGGCGGGACACGUGGUAUCCUGUCUGAAUAUGGGGGGACCAUCCUCCAAGGCUAAAUACUCCUGACUGACCGAUAGUGAACCAGUACCGUGAGGGAAAGGCGAAAAGAACCCCGGCGAGGGGAGUGAAAAAGAACCUGAAACCGUGUACGUACAAGCAGUGGGAGCACGCUUAGGCGUGUGACUGCGUACCUUUUGUAUAAUGGGUCAGCGACUUAUAUUCUGUAGCAAGGUUAACCGAAUAGGGGAGCCGAAGGGAAACCGAGUCUUAACUGGGCGUUAAGUUGCAGGGUAUAGACCCGAAACCCGGUGAUCUAGCCAUGGGCAGGUUGAAGGUUGGGUAACACUAACUGGAGGACCGAACCGACUAAUGUUGAAAAAUUAGCGGAUGACUUGUGGCUGGGGGUGAAAGGCCAAUCAAACCGGGAGAUAGCUGGUUCUCCCCGAAAGCUAUUUAGGUAGCGCCUCGUGAAUUCAUCUCCGGGGGUAGAGCACUGUUUCGGCAAGGGGGUCAUCCCGACUUACCAACCCGAUGCAAACUGCGAAUACCGGAGAAUGUUAUCACGGGAGACACACGGCGGGUGCUAACGUCCGUCGUGAAGAGGGAAACAACCCAGACCGCCAGCUAAGGUCCCAAAGUCAUGGUUAAGUGGGAAACGAUGUGGGAAGGCCCAGACAGCCAGGAUGUUGGCUUAGAAGCAGCCAUCAUUUAAAGAAAGCGUAAUAGCUCACUGGUCGAGUCGGCCUGCGCGGAAGAUGUAACGGGGCUAAACCAUGCACCGAAGCUGCGGCAGCGACGCUUAUGCGUUGUUGGGUAGGGGAGCGUUCUGUAAGCCUGUGAAGGUGUGCUGUGAGGUAUGCUGGAGGUAUCAGAAGUGCGAAUGCUGACAUAAGUAACGAUAAAGCGGGUGAAAAGCCCGCUCGCCGGAAGACCAAGGGUUCCUGUCCAACGUUAAUCGGGGCAGGGUGAGUCGACCCCUAAGGCGAGGCCGAAAGGCGUAGUCGAUGGGAAACAGGUUAAUAUUCCUGUACUUGGUGUUACUGCGAAGGGGGGACGGAGAAGGCUAUGUUGGCCGGGCGACGGUUGUCCCGGUUUAAGCGUGUAGGCUGGUUUUCCAGGCAAAUCCGGAAAAUCAAGGCCGAGGCGUGAUGACGAGGCACUACGGUGCUGAAGCAACAAAUGCCCUGCUUCCAGGAAAAGCCUCUAAGCAUCAGGUAACAUCAAAUCGUACCCCAAACCGACACAGGUGGUCAGGUAGAGAAUACCAAGGCGCUUGAGAGAACUCGGGUGAAGGAACUAGGCAAAAUGGUGCCGUAACUUCGGGAGAAGGCACGCUGAUACGUAGGUGAAGCGACUUGCUCGUGGAGCUGAAAUCAGUCGAAGAUACCAGCUGGCUGCAACUGUUUAUUAAAAACACAGCACUGUGCAAACACGAAAGUGGACGUAUACGGUGUGACGCCUGCCCGGUGCCGGAAGGUUAAUUGAUGGGGUUAGCGCAAGCGAAGCUCUUGAUCGAAGCCCCGGUAAACGGCGGCCGUAACUAUAACGGUCCUAAGGUAGCGAAAUUCCUUGUCGGGUAAGUUCCGACCUGCACGAAUGGCGUAAUGAUGGCCAGGCUGUCUCCACCCGAGACUCAGUGAAAUUGAACUCGCUGUGAAGAUGCAGUGUACCCGCGGCAAGACGGAAAGACCCCGUGAACCUUUACUAUAGCUUGACACUGAACAUUGAGCCUUGAUGUGUAGGAUAGGUGGGAGGCUUUGAAGUGUGGACGCCAGUCUGCAUGGAGCCGACCUUGAAAUACCACCCUUUAAUGUUUGAUGUUCUAACGUGGACCCGUGAUCCGGGUUGCGGACAGUGUCUGGUGGGUAGUUUGACUGGGGCGGUCUCCUCCUAAAGAGUAACGGAGGAGCACGAAGGUUGGCUAAUCCUGGUCGGACAUCAGGAGGUUAGUGCAAUGGCAUAAGCCAGCUUGACUGCGAGCGUGACGGCGCGAGCAGGUGCGAAAGCAGGUCAUAGUGAUCCGGUGGUUCUGAAUGGAAGGGCCAUCGCUCAACGGAUAAAAGGUACUCCGGGGAUAACAGGCUGAUACCGCCCAAGAGUUCAUAUCGACGGCGGUGUUUGGCACCUCGAUGUCGGCUCAUCACAUCCUGGGGCUGAAGUAGGUCCCAAGGGUAUGGCUGUUCGCCAUUUAAAGUGGUACGCGAGCUGGGUUUAGAACGUCGUGAGACAGUUCGGUCCCUAUCUGCCGUGGGCGCUGGAGAACUGAGGGGGGCUGCUCCUAGUACGAGAGGACCGGAGUGGACGCAUCACUGGUGUUCGGGUUGUCAUGCCAAUGGCACUGCCCGGUAGCUAAAUGCGGAAGAGAUAAGUGCUGAAAGCAUCUAAGCACGAAACUUGCCCCGAGAUGAGUUCUCCCUGACCCUUUAAGGGUCCUGAAGGAACGUUGAAGACGACGACGUUGAUAGGCCGGGUGUGUAAGCGCAGCGAUGCGUUGAGCUAACCGGUACUAAUGAACCGUGAGGCUUAACCUU
rnacentral:rRNA from 1 species